CCGUUUUUUUUUGUUCUAGAUCCCUCCACUGCUAUUCUCAUCGCCUCUUUUUUCCUAUAUUUGUUCCUCGCUUCCCACCGCUUCUCAUUGUUUUAUGUUCCUCGCUUCCCACCGUCUUCUCUCUUCUAUUCUCUUUGGUUCUUCCUCUAUCCCAUCGGAUACUCACCACCAUCAAGUCGUCGAUUUCCCUGAUGCUUCUUAAGUCAUCAGACCAGUCACUACCAACUACGUCUUUCUAUAUAGGGUUCGUCCAUGCUCUGGCGUAGCAAACUACAUACGACGGUCGGAUAGAGAAAAAGAAAUAUACAAAUUUCAAGAUUCAUCUCUUUGCUAUCUUCUUCCCAACUGAUAUGAAGGAUAUGUAUGGCGUAGGGAUAGGGGACGAGAACGAUGGGGUGGAGGAAUGUCAUUCAAAACGUCGCCUCCGUUAUGUUUGGUGGUUGAUGACGUGAAGAAGGUGGUCUGGACUUGGGAAGAUUGGUUUCAAUUUUAUUCUUGAUCAGGUGCGAUGGUGUCACCAAACUCGUACUCCAGGUAUUCGAUGAAAAGCCCGGUUGAAGUAGACAAUGUUUAAAAACAACAUUUUAACAUUUUGACCUUCAGCUUUAAUAUCCUGAAAUUGAAGGCCUAGAAGACCAAGACAUCGAUUUAUGUCAUCCUUUCAGCAGGGAUGAUAAUGAAAGAUAUGGUGGUAAGCAAACAGUGAAUUAAAAUCACAAUCGGAGGUUUUAGUGAAGAUAGAUAACAAAAAUGGGGUUCCGUUGAGAGUCUUAUAUUACUUAAAGGAUAAAAAAUUGCUUUUUGUAUAACCACAUUCCUAUUGAUAGCUUUUGUGAUCUUGUCCAUGUUAACUACUUAACAUCUUUCUCGCUGUAUUUUCAAUUAUUUAUUCAUUUUUUUAUUGAUUUAUUGUACAAAAAAUGUACAACUAUGUGAACCUUACACCAAAGAACGACUGCAGCAAAUCCCUGCAAGUUGGACUUACUUUUGCUGGUGAAUAUAUGGCUGGCUUUUGUAUGCUAUUGUGGCCUUGGAAGACAAAUUGUAAUAAAUUUAAGCUAUAAAUUCUAUUGGCAUGUUGGUUUUAGGUUGCUAAUUAAUUUCACUUUUAUGUUAUUUAGGUUUUGUAACAGAAUAAAAGAUGUAUCAAGAUAAGUAGGUAGUUUGGAAGGCGGAUAUAGACCCAAAUCUAGGUGAAUCUAUCAUCCCUAGUUAUAUGUUAAAUAUGAGACCCAUGCUCAGCAAGCUGGUGAAUAUGUGGCUGGCUUUUGUAUGCUAUAUAAAGAAUCCAUAAUCCCACAAAUGUUAUCAUGAUCAUAUAAAUCAUUAAAAAGAGCUAGAGAUCAUAGUUUUAUCCCGUUGCUAUUUUCUAAGUAGUUUUGAUGUAAGUUGUGCUCAACCAUUUUUUUUUUGGCAUUUUGUUUCAAGCAUUGUUAAAAAGUCAAUGAGAUGAAUGUAAUGCGUACUUGGUUAACCAGAGAAAGUUCUAUUCGAUAUUUUUUUAAUGAGCAUGAAGUUAACUAGCAAAAAGAUACAAA